UUUUUAAGUAUAUGAGGUGAUUAAUUGGAGGGCAAAUCAAGUGCCAGCAGCCGCGGUAAUACUUGUUCCAAGAGUGUGUAUGAUGAUUGAUGCAGUUAAAAAGUCCGUAGUUUAUUUUUUUAAAAAGCAAUAUGAGGUGUACUGUAUAGUUGGGAAAGAGAUGAAAUGUGACAACCA
rnacentral:rRNA from 1 species